CCUCCCCAGACCAGAAAUGGGUGGAACGUCCGCUGUUCUCCCGGUGUGGGCCUCACUCGGUGCAGUCUGCGGGAGGUUACAAAGCUUUAGUUUCGCGUUUGUAGCGUAACCGGCAAUCCCAGUGAACAGGUUUUCCAGCCAAAUGAAGGGCAGCCAAACGGAACGCUACAAUUUUCCCUUCCCAACCAGGGAUGGCAUCGUCAUCGUGGAAAACCUAGAGGAAGAAAAAGAAGCCACAGUGAAAAAAUAACAGGAUAAGACAGUGACCCUCACUAGACAACUGCUGCUGCUAAAAGUUAUUUCUAACAGGGAACAGGAACUUUCCUGACAGGCAUUGUUGCUCAGAGUCAAAAGAGGUCAAAGAAGCCAGGCAAGAUUUCAGCAAAGGAAGAAUGGACGCAAUAGCAGGAGCUACAGACACAGCCAACAUUCAGACAGUGGGAGAAAAUGCUCAUGCAAUCCACGGACAGAGAAAUGAGCAGGGACGAGAAUCACAGGAGCACAGUAACGUUAGAAACUGAGAUUCCAAGGGGGCCUUAUGCUUCCUGUACCAAAGGCAUUUCAACAUCCUUGUCAUAUCUGAGUCUACUCUCACGUAGACACUGAUGGACUCUUAACAGUGGCUUGCAUCUUUCUUGCUUUUGUGGAUGUCUCCUAAUUUACUACUGAAUGUCAGACAUCAUAUGUAAGACAGUAGAGAGUGACUUACAAAAUGUUUAUGUUUAGAAAUGCACACACUGCUUGUUCCCCAGCCAUUAGUAGGGAUUGUUAAUCUAGACAGGAAUUGAGCUGGGAUUGGGAUUUUUGUUAAGGUUACUUUUGGUGUACCACCAUCUUUAAAUUCCUCUAGAGUUAUGUUUAUUUAAAAACAGAUUUAAAAAAUAAAUAAAAAUAAAAGGAUUCACCCAACUUCUA